GGGGUUGGGGAUUUAGCUCAGUGGUAGAGCGCUUGCCUAGCAAGCGCAAGGCCCUGGGUUCGGUCCCCAGCUCCGAAGGAAAAAAAAAAAAAGAAAAAUGUGUUCAGCAAGUUUU
rnacentral:scRNA from 1 species